UACGAAGGGGGGCUAGCGUUGUUCGGAAUUACUGGGCGUAAAGGGCGCGUAGGCGGCUCUGUGCGUCGGGCGUGAAAGGCCUGGGCUCAACCCAGGAAUGGCGCUCGAUACGGCGGAGCUCGAGUGUGGGAGAGGAUGGUGGAAUUCCCAGUGUAGAGGUGAAAUUCGUAGAUAUUGGGAAGAACACCGGUGGCGAAGGGCGGGCC
rnacentral:rRNA from 1 species